AGUUGACCUCUGGGCUGGUCCUGCAUCUAAAAAGAGAUCAGGGAAAUGAUGAGGAGACAGCAAGGCAGGCUCAGAAGGCAUAACCUGGCAGCGGGGAGGAAACCAACAGUGUGGCAUCCUGGAAGGCACGUGAAGGAGGCGAAACUGAUCACUUGUGUCAACGAUGCUAAAAAUGAAUCAGACACAGCCUCAUUCUGGAUGCCCACCGGCAGUAAGGGGGGGUGAUGUACAGAGAAACAAGCACAGUACAGGACAUCACACAUUGUAACAGAGCUUGAAGAGCCCAGAGAUUGAAGAUGCCUCAAGAGAUGAACCCAGGAAUUACACAGCCAAACAAUUUCCCGGAUGUCCUCUCAAACUCUGGUAUUGAAUGAGCCUCAAACACCA